rnacentral:lncRNA from 1 species
GCCUUUAGGGAAGUGGGAGGAUACUGGGGGCUGCUGUGUGAGCACCUCUAUGCCAUACCAAGUAAGACCAGUGAGGGAAACUGGACCGCUAAGCUGCAGGGCUACCUCCCCCUCCAGGAUGCUUUUCACAUCUUCCAAGAUCCCCUCACUGGAGAUCUUCCAUGGCCUGGACUCAUCUUAGGCCUCCCUGUUCUGUCCAUGUGCUACUGG